CCUACGGGGGGCAGCAGUGAGGAAUAUUGGUCAAUGGACGCAAGUCUGAACCAGCCAUGCCGCGUGCAGGAAGACGGCUCUAUGAGUUGUAAACUGCUUUUGUACGAGGGUAAACGCAGAUACGCGUAUCUGUCUGAAAGUAUCGUACGAAUAAGGAUCGGCUAACUCCGUGCCAGCAGCCGCGGUAAUACGGAGGAUUCAAGCGUUAUCCGGAUUUAUUGGGUUUAAAGGGUGCGUAGGCGGUCGGAUAAGUUAGAGGUGAAUUCCCGAGGCUCAACUUCGGAAUUGCCUCUGAUACUGUUCGGCUAGAGAGUAGUUGCGGUAGGCGGAAUGUAUGGUGUAGCGGUGAAAUGCUUAGAGAUCAUACAGAACACCGAUUGCGAAGGCAGCUUACCAAGCUACUUCUGACGUUGAGGCACGAAAGCGUGGGGAGCGAACAGGAUUAGAUACCCCAGUAGUC
rnacentral:rRNA from 1 species